rnacentral:lncRNA from 1 species
GCGGGGCUUUACAGAAUCCGAAGAGAUUACUGAAGGCUGCAGAGCGUGGGAACCCGGACGGCACGAGGAGCCUAUGGGGACCGUACGUGGUUGGUAGGGGUAGGGUUUAAUGGGAUUUGGCGGUUUCUGGAGGAAGCGGGACGCACAGGUGGAGGUAGAGAGAGACCGAGUAAAGCGUUUAGUAUUUAAGUCAGAGCUUUGGAAGCAGACCGGCAAGAAUCGAUUGCGGAUCUGGUCUGUGAAAAGGAAAAUACAUCCCUGUAUCCCCCUCGAUUUGGACUUUCACACGGGAAGUUUGCGUUUGGCUCCCAGUAAUGGGAAUGAGUGUGAACAUUAAAAAAAGUUUUUAGGAGUUCUUCUUGUGGCUCAGCGCGUUAGGAACCCGACUGGUAUCCAUGAGGAUGCGGGUUGAUUGCUGGCCUCGCUCGGUGGGUUAAGGAUCCCGCAUUGCUCUGGCUAUGGUGUAGGUCGCAGACGCGGCUUGGAUCUGGCAUUGCUGUGGCUGUGGUGUAGGCCGACAGCUGCAGCUUAGAUUGGACCCCUAGCCUGGGAACUUCCAUAUGCUGCAGGUGCGGCCCAAAAAAAAAAAAAAGAAAGAAAGAAAAAAAAGUUUUUAAACGGACACAAAUUUUUCUAAAGUACACCUUUGACGACUCCAGCUCUGUGGCCCGCAAUUCUGUGGCUUGAAUCCUAGGGUUCAAGCAAAGAUUGACAACGCAUUACGUCUAAGCACAUCAUUUAAUAGUGACGUCAAAUGGAGGGUCGAAGCCCUCCGCCAGAGAUAGGUAAUAUUUGGGGUUUUUUUCCUUUUUUAGGGCCGCAUCCGCAGCAUAUAGAGGUUCCCAGCCUAGGGGUCCAAUUAGAGCUGUUGCUGCCGGCCCACUCCAGAGCCACAGCAAUGCCAGGUCGGAGCCGCGAAUGCAACCUACACCACAGCUCAGAGCAAUGCCUGAUCCUUAACCCACUGAGUGAGGCCAGGGAUCAAACCUGCAAUCUCAUGGUUCCUAGUCCAAUUCGUUUCCGCUGUGCCACGAGGGGACUUCCCUGAGAUAGGUAAUCUUGUAGUUAGAAAUAGUUCGUGUGUUUUUAUUUAAAUGUGUAGGCUUUUAUUAAUUUUUACAUGCUCAAAUUACUGGAUAGAUUUAUUUCCCAUGUUAGAUGUUCGAAUAAUAGCAUCUAACCCGGUAAGUCCAGGCCUGAGCCUGAAGGAGAACCCAGGUGCUGAAUCCCCCAAAUGUCAUUCCCACCUGCACGGCCUAGAGUGCCCCCUCCAAAUCAGGGAACUCUUCCCAGAUAAUUUGUGGAUUUACUGUCUAGAAGCAAGUUUUGUUCCAAAUGUUCAAAACCUGAGCAAGUCAAGCUUUUCUUUGUCCUUAGAACAAGAUGUUUAUAAAGGAAACAUUGUGAGUUAAAAAAAUUUUUUUUGGUAAACCUUAUUAUGUUACAUAUGGUUGCAAUUACAUUUAGUAUGAUUGAAACAGACACUAGGUAGUAGACAAAUAUCAUGGAGUUAAUAUAUACCAUUUUCCUGUAAGAAAGGGGGUGUUAAUAUUUAUUAGCAGGGAGUUCUGAUAAGGUGGAGAUGGGUUCAUUCAAGUCUAUUAACUUACGUUUCACAAAACCAUUUUUUUCUUUUUGAACAUGUUUCUGACUUUAUUUUUACAUUUCAAACCUACAGAAAAGUGGGCACUGAAACCCCUACACCCCUCACUUAGAUUCACCAAAAAUGUUAAUAUUUGACCACAUUUGCUUUCUCUCCUUUCAUACCAAACAAUAAUUGUUGACAUGGCUGCAUAGCAUGCCAUCUUUUGGAUGGCCUCAGAUUUUUUUUUUUGUUCGUUUUUUUGACUGCGUCUGUGGUAGGCAGAAGUUCCCAGGCCAGGGAUCGAACCUGUGCCACAGUAGUGACAGUGCCAGAUCCUUAACCUGCUGAGCCAUCAGGGAACUCCAUAGAUGGCCUCAGAUUUUUUGAGCCACUCCUCUGUUUCUGAAUGUUUGGGCGUGUUCUUUUUUUUUUUUUUUUUCUUUUCUUUCAUUAUCCAGGAUAAGAGAGCAGUCUUUGCUUUCAAAAUUUUGGGUGCAAUCAUGAUUAUGUUCUUGUGAAAAAAUUUCUGGAACUGUAGUUUAUUGAUCUAAGGGAGGUCACUGCAUUGUAAAGCAAGUGUCAAGUGACAAUUGUACACUUACUCCCAAUAACAAACUUCCUCAUCCAAGUGUUACAUUGGGGUCAGCACACUGUGGCCCCCAGUUUGCUGGCCCUUGUUGUUUCCCUAUUGCCUGCAAGCUUUUGCCAUUUCUAGGACCGAUCCCACGGCAUGUGGAGGUUCCCAGGCUAGGGGUCAAAUCGGAGCUGUAGCCACCGGCCUACACCAGAGCCACAGCAAUGCUGGAUCCGAGUUACGUCUGCAACCUACACCCCAGCUCACGGCAACACUGGAUCCCCAACCCACUGAGCAAGGCCAGGGAUCGAACCCGCAACCUCAUGGUUCCUGGUCGGAUUUGUUAACCACUGAGCCACAACAGAACUCCCUAUUUAUAUUUUUAAAGGUUUGAAAAAAGUAAAAAGACUAUUUUGUGACAUGUGGAAAUUAUAUGAAAUUCAAAUUUCACUGUCCCAUAAUAAAGUUUUAAACAUAGCCACACUCAUUCAUUUACUUUAUUAUUAUUAUUAUUAUUUUUUGUCUUUUUGCCAUUUCUUGGGCUGCUCCUGCAGCAUAUGGAGGUUCCCAGGCUAGGGGUCGAAUCGGAGCUGUAGCCACCGGGCUACGCUAGAGCCACAGCAAUGCAGGAUCCAAACCGCGUCUGCGACCCACACCACAGCUCAGGGCAACGCUGGAUCCUUAACCCACUGAGCAAGGCCCAGGGAUCAAACCCGCAACCUCAUGGUUCCUAGUCGGAUUCGUUAACCACUGAGCCACGACGGGAACUCCCUCACUCAUUUACUUUAAUGAAAGAAAUGUUCAUAUAUUGAGGUAUGGGGAAGCCAUUUUGGCUUAUCCAUGAGUUUACUGGAGUUUUAUGCUGACUAAAACAGCCUGUUUGUGGCUUGUUAAACAUAGAUCUUACAUACACUUUAAUUUCUUUUCUUUUCUUUUUAGGGCUGUGCCUGUGGCAUGUGGAAAUUCCCAGGCUAGGGGUCAAAUCACAGCUGCAGCUGCCGGCCUCCUCCACGGCCAUAGCAACACAGGAUCCAAGCUGCAUCUGUGACUUAACCCACUGAGCGAGACCAAGGAUUGAACCCACAUCUUUAUGGGUACUAGUCAGGUUCUUAACUUGCUGAGCCACAGCAGGAACUCCCAGAUCCGCUUUAGUCAUUAAAGGGCGCAUUGAUGAAAUAAAGACUGUCCAUGUUAAAGAUAAAGAUUAAAUGCCUCGCUUCCUGGGUUGCCAAUCUGGUACUCUUUCGAUGAUAAGACCUGAUUUCCAGGCAUCGAGGCCAUGCUGACUUGCUGUGUGCAUGCUGAUCUGUUAAACCUUGAAGGAAUAUAUCCCUGAUUUGUUUGAUGGUCUUUGUUCUGAUGAGAUAGAAAACUGGGCUGAAAACCCUGCUUCUCUGGAGCAGUUCCUCGGUUAUCUAGGAGGCUGUCUUCCAGCAAGAGUCCUCAGUUUGGCUCAGUUUUACUCUUUUCUCUUCCUAUUCCUAUUGUAGAUUGUUUAUUGAUUAUUUCUGUCGAUGCUUUCCUGUCUGUGGCUGCUCGCAGACUGUGUUAACUGAGAAUUCUAAGAACGGAGGCCUGGUUGAAAUAACGAGACAUUUAUUUGGGGUUUGUUAAGAGUAGUCUGGGAGACACAGUUGCAAGAAGCACUCGAAUUGUGUUCUGCAGGACUACAAAAUGAGGGAGCUUUUAUGAAAGCAAAAAAACAAACAAAAAAAACCAACAACCCCCAAAACAAAACCCACCACAUAGUUACAUAAAUUGCCAAGAAUUAAGAUUAGAGCUGCCAAGAAGUAAAGGUGUUUUUUUUUUCUUCUUCUUCUUCUUCUUCUUUUUGCAUUUUUUAUGGCCACCCCUGCAGCAUAUGGAAGUUCCCAGGCUAGGGGUCGAGUUGGAGCUGCAGCUGCCAGCCUACACCACAGCCACAACAUCAUGGGAUCUGAGUCGCAUCUGCGACCUGCACCACAGCUCACAGCAAUGCUGGAUCCUUAACCCACUGAGUGAGGCUAGGGAUUGAACCUGCAUCCUCAUGGAUACUAGUCAGGUUUGUUUCCGCUGAGCCACAACAGGAACUCCAAAGGGUGCUUGUUAAGCAAGCAUUGGUUGAGGUUCAAAAUAGUUGCCAAGGGAGGACUUUGAAACCCCAAGGUUGCAACUAGCAGCAGGUAUCAGGUAUUGUUUUGGAAAGGGCUGCUGGUGUCCUUGAGUUUGAUACCGUUCAGAGGAAAUUCACGUUCUCAGUGGUGCAAGGAGGUGUCUGAGACCAGAUUCUCAAUAACUGCCCGACUCCAUUUUUGUAUGCCUGAACUAUGAUGACUCCAUUAUAAUUUUUUUUGACUUUUGUCUUUUCUGGGGCCGCACCCGCGGCAUAUGGAGGUUCCACAGGCUAGGGGUCCAAUCAGAGCUGUAGCCGCCAGCCUACACCACAGCCCCAGCCACGCCAGAUCCGAGCUGAGUCUGCGACCUACACCACAGCUCACGGCAACGCCAGAUCCUUAACCCAUUGAGCAAGGCCAGGGAUCGAACCCGCAACCCCAUGGUUCCUAGUCGGGUUCGUUAACCACUGAGGCACGACGGGAACUCCCUCCAUUAUAAUUUCCAUUUGUCAUCACUACGAUGACAGAAUCGAGUAGCUGCCAAAGAGACCAUAUGGCCCUUUAUAGAAAAUGUUUGCUAACCCCAGCCCUACACAAGUAUGUCAGUCACCAGUAUAUUGGUUGGGGCUAUAAGCACAUGAGCUGCCCUGGCUUCCGCUGAGACCGCUUACCUAGCUUAUGGGUGGGCGUUUUCAGGUUUCUGAAACAGGAGGCUCUCGUAUCUCCACUUCUGUUUCCUCUUCCUUCCAUUCAACCCCCUAACCUCCCCCAACUCUGACUUCUGCUUUUGCCUUUACCCAAGAAGUACAAGACAUGACUGAGGGCCAGAGGAGUUAUAGCUCAUUCGUUCAUUCACUGCCUGCUUUAUUUUCCACUGGAUAUUUGGAACCUG